AAUCAACGCUGGCGGCGUGCCUAACACAUGCAAGUCGCGCGCGAAAGGGGGGCGAACUCCCAAGUAGAGCGGCGAACGGGUGAGUAACACGUGGGUAAGUCUACCUUCGAGUGGGGAACGAACACCGGGAAACGUAGGUGCUAAUUCCGCAUAACAUCGUCGGGGCGUUCGGUUCUGACGCUCAAAGCUGGGGAGUCGCAAGACCUAGCGCUUGAAGAUGAGCCCGCGUCCGAUUAG
rnacentral:rRNA from 1 species